rnacentral:rRNA from 1 species
CCUUACCUGGCCUUGACAUACUAAGAACUUUCCAGAGAUGGAUUGGUGCCUUCGGGAACUUAGAUACAGGUGCUGCAUGGCUGUCGUCAGCUCGUGUCGUGAGAUGUUGGGUUAAGUCCCGCAACGAGCGCAACCCUUUUCCUUAUUUGCCAGCGGGUAAUGCCGGGAACUUUAAGGAUACUGCCAGUGACAAACUGGAGGAAGGCGGGGACGACGUCAAGUCAUUAUGGCCCUUACGGCCAGGGCUACACACGUGCUACAAUGGUCGGUACAAAGGGUUGCUACCUCGCGAGAGGAUGCUAAUCUCAAAAAGCCGAUCGUAGUCCGGAUCGCAGUCUGCAACUCGACUGCGUGAAGUCGGAAUCGCUAGUAAUCGCGGAUCAGAAUGCCGCGGUGAAUACGUUCCCGGGCCUUGUACACACCGCCCGUCACACCAUGGGAGUUUGUUGCACCAGAAGUAGGUAGUCUAACCGCAAGGAGGACGCUUACCACGGUGUGGCCGAUGACUGGGGUGAAGUCGUAACAAGGUAGGCGUAGAUGA